UCCCCCGCCUGCCCUUCAGUCACCCCGGGCUCAGCCCACUCCCAACUCUGUGAGGGACCCGCUGCCCCUUGUAUCGGUCUCUCUGUGGCCGCGCCUCAUUUCUCUGUAGGCCCAGCUGCCGAGACGCUGCAGCCUUCGCAGCGCGCUCUCCCUGCGCCCUGGCGCCAGCCGGCAGCACUUUGCCGGGGAACUUGAGGUGUCCUUUCCCACCCCGCAGGGCUAUUGCUCGCACCCGGCGGUGGGAUAGGGAGAGAAGGGAGGGAAGUGGGUUCGCCUUGCCGAUUGGCCCAGGAGCAGUGAGGAGCAUGCUGGGAUGUGUAGUUCCCGGUAUGCGCAUGCGCUAAGGGAAGCCCUCGGGCAGGCUGCAGGAUAGGUUGGGCAGCAUGCUGCAGCGGCAGCUGGGUUACACCAGAGCUCCCGGGGGAGGGCCGGUGCUACCAUUAAGGUAAACUAGGUGGUUGUCUAGGGCCCCAAGAUUUGGGGGCGCCAAAAAGUGAUGCCCCCAAUUUUUUUUUACAGCGUUCCUGGGCUGGGCUGCCGGUGGUGCACUGAUAUGUGCGGCUCAGACGCCCUCUCCCAGCGCAGCGGCCGCUCCAUGCAAUUAUUAUCAUUGCCGGCGGGGGCGCUGGCGGCUGGGCAGAGCUCCACAGCUCCGCUUAAAGCACGUGGCACGUGGCUCCGCUUAAAGAGCCCGGCGACAGGUGUAGCAGCAGGGCUUCGUGAGGAAACGGGCGGCAGCCUCCUGGCUCAGCCUCUACGGUCAGCCCCAGCGGGGGGGCACAGAAAACAAAAGAGCCUCAGGCAGCGGUCCAGUGGAGGAAGAAAGAGGACCCCGACGCCCAUGCGUUGGGCAAGUUGAUGCAGCCUCAUGGCGGAUAAAAAAAAAUUGUCUGGGUCACAAUUUCGUAAGCGGAAGGCUGAUAAGCAAAAAGAAGAAAGAAAGCAAGAAGGUUCGUUUCUGAAAUAUCUCCAUCCACUGGCCAGAGAUGAGGGUAGUUCAAUGCCAAAGGAUCAAGCAGAGAUGGAGAUGGGGAUGUGAGCUUCACAAGUUGAAGAAGAGUUUGAAGAAUGUAAUCUGAAUAUUGAAGACGAAUCAAAUGAGACAUGCAAGGAUCAAAACUUGGAAGACCGUGAAAGCGAAAAUGUCACUCGUUUGAAUUUGAGCUUUAGUGAUUCUGCUACUUGGGCCAAAUGCAAUGAUCAAGUCCGACAAAUUCUGGUGGAUCAUGGGCCGGAACAAGUUCAGCAGUUCGAUUUUCCCAAAGAUAGUAAGCAAAGAAAAUUCUUGACAAUUCAUUACAAACGUAGACCUGUUAAUGGAGAAGAAAUGCACCGUCAGUGGCUGCAGUAUUCCACAUCAAGUGAUUCUGUCUUUUGCUUCUGCUGCAAGUUGUUUGGCAGUAGUACUAUUGACACAUCAUCUCUUUCUGAAAAAGGCACAAGGGAAAAACAUGUCUGCAAUUCUUUCACGGCACAAGAAAAGCAGUGAACAUUUGACGAAUGUUCAAACAUGGAAGGAACUUGAACUGCAAUUGAAAUACAAGAGAACAUUUGAUUAAGAACAUUUGCGCUUGAUUAAGCAAGAAGAAAAGUAUUGGCAGCAAAUACUAAAACGUCUGAUUGCUUUGGUCAGAGUUCUUGGUGUGCAAAACCUGGCCUUUCAGGGAACACAUGAAAAACUGCACACUUCUGGUAAUGGGAACUUCCUCAAAUUGGUCGAAUAUCUAGCUUUGUUUGACCCACUUAUGGAUGAGCAUCUUCACAGGAUUAAGGACCAGGAGAUGCAUGUACAUUAGCUAGGGAAAGACAUACAGAAUGAGCUUAUUCAGCUUCUAGCCAAUGCCAUCAAACAAAAAAUCCUAGCAUCUGCUCGUGCUGCAAAAUACUUUUCAAUCAUUCUAGAUUGUACACCAGAUGCAGACCACGUUGAACAAAUGAUCAUUUGGUUUGUGGAUAGGCCUACUUCAGAGACCGAGAAUGAGACUGAAUCAGUAUGCAUAAAGGAACACUUCUUGGGAUUUGUGUCGCUUACCGAGACAACUGGAGCUGGUAUGACAGAAACUAUUCUUCACCAGUUAGAAGAGAUGUCACUGCCUAUAGAAAACUUGCGUGGUCAAGGCUAUGACAAUGGGAGCAAUAUGAAAGGGAAAGAAAAUGGUGUCCAGCGAAGAAUUUUGGAUAUUAAUCCACGAGCCUUUUUCGUUCCUUGCAGUGCACAUUCAUUGAAUUUGGUUGUUAAUGAUGCUGUGAAGUGUUGCUUGGAGGCAACCGCCUAUUUGAUUUAGUUCAACGUGUGUAUGUGUAUUUCUCAGCUUCUACACAUCGCUGGGAAGUUCUAACACGCCACAUAUCUAAUCUCACAGUUAAACCAUUGAGUGAAACAAGAUGGGAAAGUCGAAUCGAUGCCUUGAAACCUUUUCGCUAUCAGCUUGGUGACAUCUAUGAUGCUCUGAUAGACAUCUAUGAAGACACUACUCUAACAGGAUCAUCUGGCAAUACGUCACGAGUUGAUGCAAAGGCUCUUACAAAAGCCAUUUCUAGUUUCAAGUUUCUUGUUUCUCUUGUUUUGUGGUAUGACAUAUUGUUUGAGAUCAACAUGACUAGCAAACAACUUCAGGCAAAAGAAUUCGCAUAUGUGAUGCCAUUAAUCAACUUGGAGAAACCAAGAAGUUUCUUGUGGGCCGCAGAAGUGACGCAGCCUUUGAGAAAACAUUGGUAGAUGCAGGUGAAUUUGCGGAAGAGUUGGAUGUACCGGCACUUUUUGAACCAGAUCCAAUCCGUAUUAGAAAGAAGAGGAAGCAGUUCACAUAUGAAGCAGAUGAUGAACCUAUUUAUAAUCCGAAAGAAAAAUUCAAAGUGAACUUUUACUUUGCAGUCAUUGACACAGCAAUACAUUCGGUGAAGAAAGAUUCACAUUGAUGCAGCAAAUUAGUUCAGUAUUUGCUUCAUAUAUGAUGUUUACAGUUUGCAAAAUAAAACACCAAAGCAAAUUAUGGAACAUUGCUUGAAUCUGGAGCAAGCUUUGCAACAUGGUGAAUCCAAAGAUAUUGAUGCCUUUGACUUGUGCAAUGAAUUGCAAGCUAUUGCAAGACGAGUCCAAAGGAGUUCAUCACCGCAAGAUGUAUUGAACUUAAUAUGGGAAAAUAAGCUGGCAGAUAGUGUCCCUAACACAGUUAUUGCUCUUCACAUCCUCUUGACUCUCCCAGUUUCUGUGGCCAGUGGUGAGCGAAGCUUCUCUAAGCUCAAGUUGAUAAAAACAUACUUGCGAACAUCAAUGUUGCAACAAAGACUUGUUGGGCUAUCUAUCUUGUCAAUAGAACAUGACAUUGCUCACAGCAUUGACGUGGAGGAACUUGUUUCUAAAUUUGCUAAACUUAAAGCACGGAAACAUAAAUUCUAAAUUAUAACGUUA